rnacentral:rRNA from 1 species
AUGAGCAGACACACUGUGCCCUCUGUAACCCUACAUAUAAUGGAAGUAAAGAAACAAAGCAGAGCACCCUCCUCUGGUGCCUUGUUUCACCUAGGGCUGACGUCGGUCACCGUCUGCGGCACGACCGUGCUGAACAUGUCGGAAUCGUCCGCCGUGGUCGAGUUCUUGAACCUCGAGUCGCUGGAGGCCGUCGCCUUGGAGACACCGCUAUUGUACUCACUGAUGUACCCCGGCGCCGUCAGCUCGCUCUCGUUGAUCCGGAUGGGCUUGGACAGCAUCUUCACCACCUGCAGCAUCGAUGGCCGCCGCGCCGCCGCCGCCUGCGUGCAGAAGAGGGCCACCUUGAUGAACCUGAUGGCCUCCUCAUCAGGGUAA